GUAAUAGUCAUUUGCUAACUACAUCUUAAAAGACAAAGCUACUAACCAACUUGCUGAUGAACACAACUAAAGAUUGACUAGGCAUAUGACAUAGGACCUUUGAACUGAUAGGCUAGUGAUUUGCGCACGUAUUAAGCCGACUUAAAUCAGUAGCAAUUUAUUAUUAUCUACCUAGGAUAUUGGCACUAAAUGUAUGUAUAAUGUCUUCCUUUUUUUAAAAAAAAAUUUUGCCUUCUGAUAUGAUAUUGCUACUGUGACACCCCUUACCCGUCUA
rnacentral:misc_RNA from 1 species